rnacentral:rRNA from 1 species
UACGGGGGGAGCAAGCGUUGUUCGGAUUUACUGGGCGUAAAGGGCGCGUAGGCGGCCACCGCAAGUCAGUUGUGAAAUCUCUGGGCUUAACCCAGAAAGGUCAACUGAUACUGCGGGGCUAGAGUGCAGAAGGGGCAACUGGAAUUCUCGGUGUAGCGGUGAAAUGCGUAGAUAUCGAGAGGAACACCUGCGGCGAAAGCGGGUUGCUGGGCUGACACUGACGCUGAUGCGCGAAAGCUAGGGGAGCGAACGGG